GAAACCUCAUCUUCGAUCGUUCGCCAUCCGGGCGUUGAUCAGUGCUUCCAGCAUGGGCAUUCACCCAGAUGAGGAGAGAGU
rnacentral:ncRNA from 1 species